rnacentral:rRNA from 1 species
UUUAAAUUGAGAGUUUGAUCCUGGCUCAGGAUGAACGCUGGCGGCGUGCUUAACACAUGCAAGUCGAGCGAUGAAGUUUCCUUCGGGAAACGGAUUAGCGGCGGACGGGUGAGUAACACGUGGGUAACCUGCCUCAUAGAGUGGAAUAGCCUUCCGAAAGGAAGAUUAAUACCGCAUAACGUUGAAAGAUGGCAUCAUCAUUCAACCAAAGGAGC